rnacentral:rRNA from 1 species
GAUGAACGCUGGCGGCGUGCCUAAUACAUGCAAGUCGAGCGAACGGACGAGAAGCUUGCUUCUCUGAUGUUAGCGGCGGACGGGUGAGUAACACGUGGAUAACCUACCUAUAAGACUGGGAUAACUUCGGGAAACCGGAGCUAAUACCGGAUAAUAUUUUGAACCGCAUGGUUCAAAAGUGAAAGACGGUCUUGCUGUCACUUAUAGAUGGAUCCGCGCUGCAUUAGCUAGUUGGUAAGGUAACGGCUUACCAAGGCAACGAUGCAUAGCCGACCUGAGAGGGUGAUCGGCCACACUGGAAAUGAGAAACGGUCCAGACUCCUAAGGGAGGCAGCAGUAGGGAAUCUUCCGCAAUGGGCGAAAGCCUGACGGAGCAACGCCGCGUGAGUGAUGAAGGUCUUCGGAUCGUAAAACUCUGUUAUUAGGGAAGAACAGAUGUGUAAGUAACUGUGCACAUCUUGACGGUACCUAAUCAGAAAGCCACGGCUAACUACGUG